AGAGUUUGAUCCUGGCUCAGACGAACGCUGGCGGCGUGGCUAAGACAUGCAAGUCGAACGGACCGUCCAAAUGAGUAAUCGUGCGGAUGGUUAGUGGCGGAAGGAUGAGUAAUGCAUAGGUAGCGUACCCUUGGUACCGGGAUAGCUGCGGUCUUCGGAUCUUUAGCGAAAGUGCAGAUAAUACCGGAUGACAUCUUUUUGACGAAUGUCGAUUAGAUCAAAAGUUUCGACCGACCGAGGAGCGGCCUAUGUCGUAUCAGCUAGUUGGUGGGGUAAUGGCCUACCAAGGCAACGACGCGUAGCGGGACUGAGAGGUUGGCCCGCCAUAUCGGGACUGAGACACUGCCCGGACCUCCACGGAGGGCUGCAGUAACGAAUCUUGCGCAAUGGGCGAAAGCCUGACGCAGCGACGCCGCGUGUAGGAUGAAGUCCCUCGGGAUGUAAACUACUGUCAGGGUGAAGAAAGUCCGCUUCGGUGGACUGAUCGAACCCAGAGGAAGGCCCGGCUAACUUCGUGCCAGCAGCCGCGGUAAGACGAAGGGGUCAAGCGUUGUUCGGAAUUACUGGGCUUAAAGAGCACGUAGGCGGAAGGCUAAGUGCCUUGUGAAAGCCCCCGGCUCAACCGGGGAAUUGCAGGGCAUACUGGUUUUCUUGAGGCAAGUAGGGGUGCGUGGAACUCUAGGUGGAGCGGUGGAAUGCGUAGAUAUCUAGAGGAACGCCCGCGGAGAAAUCGGCGCACUGGGCUUGUACUGACGCUGAGGUGCGAAAGCGUGGGGAGCGAACGGGAUUAGAUACCCCGGUAGUCCACGCCGUAAACGAUGUCUACUAGGUCGCGGAGACUCUGACGUUGCCGCGGCCGAAGCAAAAGUGUUAAGUAGACCGCCUGGGGAGUACGGUCGCAAGGCUAAAACUCAAAGGAAUUGACGGGGGCUCACACAAGCGGUGGAGCAUGUGGCUUAAUUCGAAUCAACGCGAAGAACCUUAUCCUGGGUUUGACAUGUACGGAUGCCUGCUCCGAAAGGAGAUUUGGUUGCUCUUGUAGUGAAACGUGUACAGGUGCUGCAUGGCUGUCGUCAGCUCGUGUCGUGAGAUGUUGGGUUAAGUCCCGUAACGAGCGAAACCCUUGUCGUUAGUUGCCAUCGCGUUAUGGCGGGGACUCUAACGAGACUGCCGGUGUUAAACCGGAGGAAGGUGGGGAUGACGUCAAGUCCUCAUGGCCUUUAUGCCCAGGGCUGCACACGUGCUACAAUGGCGGGGACAAACCGACGCAAGACCGUGAGGUGGAGCAAAUCGGAAAAACCUCGCCCCAGUUCGGAUUGCAGGCUGCAACUCGCCUGCAUGAAGUCGGAAUCGCUAGUAAUCGCAGAUCAGCUAUGCUGCGGUGAAUGUGUUCCUGAGCCUUGUACACACCGCCCGUCAAGUCACGGAAGCCGGGAGUACCUGAAGUCGGGUAGCUAACCGCAAGGAAGCGCCUGCCGAUGGUAAGCUCGGUAACUGGGGCUAAGUCGUAACAAGGUA
rnacentral:rRNA from 1 species